rnacentral:rRNA from 1 species
UUUGACCUCGGAUCAGGUAGGAAUACCCGCUGAACUUAAGCAUAUCAAUAAGCGGAGGAAAAGAAACCAACAGGGAUUGCCCUAGUAACGGCGAGUGAAGCGGCAACAGCUCAAAUUUGAAAUCUGGCCUCGGCCCGAGUUGUAAUUUGCAGAGGAUGUUUCUGGCGCGGUGCCUUCCGAGUUCCCUGGAACGGGACGCCACAGAGGGUGAGAGCCCCGUAUGGUUGGACACCAAGCCUGUGUGAAACUCCUUCGACGAGUCGAGUAGUUUGGGAAUGCUGCUCUAAAUGGGAGGUAAAUCUCUUCUAAAGCUAAAUACCGGCCAGAGACCGAUAGCGCACAAGUAGAGUGAUCGAAAGAUGAAAAGCACCUUGAAAAGGGGGUUAAACAGUACGUGAAAUUGUUGAAAGGGAAGCGCUCAUGACCAGACUUGUGCCGGGCGGUUCAUCCGGGGUUCUCCCCGGUGCACUCCGCCCGGUUCAGGCCAGCAUCGGUUCUCGUUGGGGGAUAAGAACGGUAGGAACGUGGCCCUCCCUCGGGAGGGUGUUAUAGCCUGCCGUACGAUACCCUGAUGGGGACCGAGGUUCGCGCUCCGCAAGGAUGCUGGCGUAAUGGUCAUCAGCGACCCGUCUUGAAACACGGACCAAGGAGUCGUCCAUUAGAGCGAGCGUUUGGGUGUAAAACCCGCACGCGUAAUGAAAGUGAAAUUAGGUGAGAGCUUCGGCGCAUCAUCGACCGAUCCUGAUGUUCUCGGAUGGAUUUGAGUAAGAGUUUUAACGGACGGACCCGAAAGACAGUGAACUAUGCUUGUAUAGGGUGAAGCCAGAGGAAACUCUGGUGGAGGCUCGCAGCGGUUCUGACGUGCAAAUCGAUCGUCAAAUAUGAGCAUGGGGGCGAAAGACUAAUCGAACUGUCUAGUAGCUGGUUACCGCCGAA